GACGAACGCUGGCGGCGUGCUUAACACAUGCAAGUCGAACGGAAAGGCCCUGCUUGCAGGGUACUCGAGUGGCGAACGGGUGAGUAACACGUGGGUGACUUGCCCUGCACUUCGGGUUAAGCUUGGGAAACUGGGUCUAAUACCGGAUAGGCACCAUCUUUAGUGUGGUGGUUGGACAGUUUUUUCGGUGUAGGAUGAGCUGGCGGCCUAUCAGCUUGUUGGUGGGGUAAUGGCCUACCAAGGCGGCGACGGGUAGCCGGCCUGAGAGGGUGUACGGCCACAUUGAGACUGAGGGGCGGCACAGACGCCUACGGGAGGCAGCAGUGGGGAAGAUUGCACAAUGGGCGCAAGCCUGAUGCAGCGGGGCCGCGUGGGGGAUGAAGGCCUUCGGGUUGUAAACGCCUUUCGCGAGGGACGAAGCUUUUUGUGACGGUACCUAGAGAAGAAGCACCGGCUAACUACGUG
rnacentral:rRNA from 1 species